UAACACGUGGAUAAUCUGCCCUGCACAGGGGGACAACAGCUAGAAAUGGCUGCUAAUACCGCAUAAGCCUACAGCCUCGCAUGAGGGAGUAGGAAAAGAAAUUCGGUGCAGGAUGAGUCCGCGUCUGAUUAGCUAGUUGGAGGGGGUAAGAGCCCACCAAGGCAACGAUCAGUAGCCGGCCUGAGAGGGCGACCGGCCACAUUGGGACUGAGACACGGCCCAAACUCCUACGGAAGGCAGCAG
rnacentral:rRNA from 1 species